rnacentral:lncRNA from 7 species
GACUAGCGCUGCGCCGCCAUCUUGAGUGUGGCGGGCGCGAAAACGCGCUGUUGGGUUGUUCCUUCACAGGCGCUGUUGGCUGUCCUUCCUUGCGCAAAGCUUUUAUCGUCCUCAGUGCACGUUCCUUCAAGCGUUCGCUGUGCAACCCAGUGAUUCCUGGAUCUUUCUCACCUGUCACUACCAUUCCCUGCUCACUGUCUCCCAGCCUGAGGCGCAGGCUGAGUGGGUGCUGGGUAAAUCUCCAUGGGAAAAAACAUCAUCUGCUUCAGCUGCUGUUCAAAACUGAAAAUACCCUUCUCUGUGUUGGGACUUGAGGGCAUGAACAGACCUUAAUGGUUCUGACCAACUCCACCUGGGGCCUAAAUCUACUUUGCCUCUCACACCCUCCCAUGUGCCUGGGAGCCCCAUUUUGACCUAGCCUGGAGUUUUCAGUCCUUUUUUGAGCUAUACUUUAGGAGUGUGGGCCUCCAGUUCCACCAGAGCUCUGUCUAACCGCAGUCCUGCUUCCACCAUGGACCUGCUAAGCAACUAAUGUUCUGUGUCUCACUAUGGCUGCUGUUGUGGUGACUGAUCUUGAUUCUCUGGCUUUACCUUGCUCAGUGGAUUUGUAUGAUGAUCCAAACUAUAUACUGAACCUGGCUGCUAACAAGGCCUGCUGUGCUCAGUUGUGGUGAGGCUCUUGUUCUCGGCUCCAUGCCACACACAGAAUGGCCAGCCUUGCUGCUCUGAGAUCUUGCCUUCCUUCAAAUAACAAGGACUUUGCUAAACUUGGGAUGCUUGGAGAUGAAUUCAUGAUAUACAGGGAAGAUUUUUUUUCUUUUUGACUUUGUUUGAAAAUUGAAUAUUACUAUCAGAAAGCUGGAGAUUGAAAGAGACUAAUUAUGCUUCAGUAAUUGUAACUUUUGUCUCCAAGCAAAAAGAGAAGCGUAUAAAAGAUGGUCUGCUGUUUGAAGAGGAAGCUGUGAAUAAGAAUAGCACAAGAAGAUAAACAGCUACUUCAAAACAAAUUUUUCCAGCUCUCUUCCAAAUACAAAACGUUAUUGCGAUGUGCUGUGCUGCAAUUGAAGGCAUCUUGGUUGUGAC